UUUCCGUAGGUGAACCUGCGGAAGGAUCAUUAACGAGUAAGGGCCAUCAUGACCCGACCCCAAAUCCUUUGUUCAACUACCAUCUUGCUUCGGUCUCCCCGCUUCCCGACCGCCGGAAGUCCUAGGCCUUUUCGCCCUUGCCCGCCAACAGCCCCCUACAAACUCUUGAUCAAUUGAGUUCUACGAGUAAUAAACUUAAUUUUUAAAACUUUCAACAACGGAUCCCUCGGCUCUUGCUUCGAUGAAGAAUGACGACGCUCGGCAAAGCACAAGUCUGAA
rnacentral:misc_RNA from 1 species